rnacentral:rRNA from 1 species
CCUACGGGAGACAGCAGUGGGGAAUAUUGCACAAUGGGGGAAACCCUGAUGCAGCGACGCCGCGUGAGUGAAGAAGUAUCUCGGUACGUAAAGCUCUAUCAGCAGGGAAGAAAAUUACGGUACCUGACUAAGAAGCCCCGGCUAACUACGAGCCAGCAGCCGCGGUAAUACGUAGGGGGCAAGCGUUAUCCGGAUUUACUGGGUGUAAAGGGAGCGUAGACGGCAGCACAAGUCUGGAGUGAAAUCCCGGGGCUUAACCCCGGAACUGCUGUGGAAACUGUGAGGCUGGAGUGCAGGAGGGGUAAGCGGAAUUCGUAGUGUAGCGGUGAAAUGCGUAGAUAUUAGGAGGAACACCGAUGGCGAAGGCAGCUUACUGGACUGUAACUGACGUUGAGGCUCGAAAGCGUGGGGAGCAAACAGGAUUAGAUACCCUGGUAGUC